rnacentral:rRNA from 1 species
AGCGAACGCUGGCGGCAGGCUUAACACAUGCAAGUCGAGCGGGCAUCUUCGGAUGUCAGCGGCAGACGGGUGAGUAACACGUGGGAACGUACCCUUCGGUUCGGAACAACUCUGGGAAACUGGAGCUAAUGCCGGAUACGCCCUUAUGGGGAAAGGUUUACUGCCGAAGGAUCGGCCCGCGUCUGAUUAGCUAGUUGGUGGGGUAACGGCCUACCAAGGCGACGAUCAGUAGCUGGUCUGAGAGGAUGAUCAGCCACACUGGGACUGAGACACGGCCCAGACUCCUACGGGAGGCAGCAGUGGGGAAUAUUGGACAAUGGGCGCAAGCCUGAUCCAGCCAUGCCGCGUGAGUGAUGAAGGCCUUAGGGUUGUAAAGCUCUUUUGUCCGGGACGAUAAUGACGGUACCGGAAGAAUAAGCCCCGGCUAACUUCGUG